GGGGCCGUUGGCCCGGCCACGGCCCCCCUCCCCGACCUACCCAACACUGGCCCUGCCACCUCCACGUUCCGAUUAAGUUCCUACAGUGGUGCUUUCAAGAACUGACUCGAGUCACCAUCCACCAGAUGCUGAUCCAACCCUACCCUGAACGAGUGCAAGAAGCAGACCUCUACCCGAACAUCCAGGCUCCUUAGGAAAAGAGACCUCUUCAGAACCCCCCGUCGACCCUUGUCAGCAGGAAGUAGCCAGAGAGACAACCGACGCCCCUGACCCCCUCUUUUCUUCUUUUCUUUUAAGGAGUCGGGAAUGUUUGGAAAACUCUGCCCCUACCGUGAAAGCUCUCUUUCCCUCCCCCAUGAAGAGGCUCCCUUAUCUCUCACUCUACAUACCGCUCUAGCCUUCCCGCCCGGCCGCAGCCACCCACCGCCCGGCUUCCCGCCUCCCAGUUUCCCGCUGCCUGGCUUCCCUGCCCAGCGGUUUAAACUGACCAACCGUUGCCCGCCACCUCAGCUCCCCCGGCCUUCCCACUCCCUCAGCCCUUCAGCCCCCCUAUAAAAGAGCUCUGCUCCUCUGAGCAGCGCGGCCAUUCUCCUCUUCCUCCCGGCUGGUCCACCCGGAGGCUCUUUCCUCUCAAUAAAGCC